rnacentral:rRNA from 1 species
GAAGGGUGCUAGCGUUACUCGGAAUUACUGGGCGUAAAGGGCGCGUUAGGCGGCUUUCUAAGUUGGAAAGUGAAAUCCCAUGGCUUAACCAUGGAAUUGCUUUCAAGACUGGAAAGCUAGAGUAUGGUAGAGGGUAGUGGAAUUCCUGGUGUAGAGGUGAAAUUCGUAGAUAUCAGGAGGAACACCGGUGGCGAAGGCGGCUACCUGGGCCAUUACUGACGCUGAGGCGCGAAAGCAUGGGGAGCAAACAGGAUUAGAUACCCUGGUAGUCCAUGCUGUAAACGAUGAGUGCUAGAUAUUAGGAACAACGUUCUUGGUGUCGCAGCUAACGCAUUAAGCACUCCGCCUGGGGACUACGGUCGCAAGACUA